AACGGGUUGAUAUUCCCGUACCGGUGAAAAACCGCCCAUACUGAUAUUGUGAUGCUAACCAUGCGAAGCAUGAUGUGCAGGCUUUUGUUUGUGUGUUGUGUGGGUUGUGGGACCCGAUCUUUGGAGGUAAACGUGUUAACAGGUGUGACGCAGGAAGGUAGCCAAGCCACGCGAUGGUUGUCGUGGUCUAAGCGUGUAGGGUUGUCGGUUGUUAAAUGCGCCGGCUGUGUGCCUGAGACGUGAUGGGACCCCGUUUUUGGGGGAUUUGGUGAUCCUAUGCUGUCGAGAAAAGCAUCGGCGUGAGGUUUUAGCCGCCCGUACCCUAAACCGACACAGGUGAUCAGGUAGAGAAUACUAAGGCGAUCGAGAGAAUCAUGGUUAAGGAACUCGGCAAAAUGCCCCCGUAACUUCGGGAGAAGGGGGACCUUGAGCGUGAUGGGCACUUGCUGCCUGGAGCGUGUAUGGGUCGCAGAGACCAGGGGGAAGCGACUGUUUAUCAAAAACACAGGUCCGUGCGAAGUCGUAAGACGAUGUAUACGGACUGACUCCUGCCCGGUGCUGGAAGGUUAAGAGGAUUGGUUAGCUCUUUUGGGCGAAGCUGAGAAUUUAAGCCCCAGUAAACGGCGGUGGUAACUAUAACCAUCCUAAGGUAGCGAAAUUCCUUGUCGGGUAAGUUCCGACCUGCACGAAUGGAGUAACGACUUCCCUACUGUCUCAACCAUGAACUCGGCGAAAUUGCAGUACGAGUAAAGAUGCUCGUUUCGCGCAGCAGGACGGAAAGACCCCGUGACCUUUACUAUAGUUUGGUAUUGGUGUUUGGUUUGGCUUGUGUAGGAUAGGUGGGAGACUGUGAAGCAUGGACGCUAGUUUGUGUGGAGUCGUUGUUGAAAUACCACUCUGGUCAAUCUGGAUGUCUAACUUCGGGCCAUGAUCUGGUUCAGGGACAGUGCCUGAUGGGUAGUUUAACUGGGGCGGUUGCCUCCUAAAGUGUAACGGAGGCGCCCAAAGGUUCCCUCAGCCUGGUUGGCAAUCAGGUGUUGAGUGUAAGUGCACAAGGGAGCUUGACUGUGAGACUGGCAGGUCGAGCAGGGACGAAAGUCGGGACUAGUGAUCCGGCGGUACGUUGUGGAACGGCCGUCGCUCAACGGAUAAAAGGUACCUCGGGGAUAACAGGCUGAUCUUGCCCAAG
rnacentral:rRNA from 1 species